GAUUAACCUGGGAGAAGAUCAUGAAAGCAUCUCCAAGAAGUUAAUACUGAGACUUUAAAUAUCAGAGCCUCAGAACAUUCAUGCCUGGCUGCCUUCUCAUCCCCUUACCUUCAAUCAAGUUUAUGAACAUAUGCAAUCCGAGCCUCCUUUCUGGCACUCUUUCCCUUCAAGAAAGGAGAUAAAGCUAGUAGGCUUAAUUACAUCAGAUUAGGUUGCUGGCAGAGGAUAGAGGAGAUAUCUGUGCUACAUAUCUUAACAUAAGCUGGCAUGAGUUCAGCCAUUUCCCACUUGGAAUUAAUCUGAUAUAUGCAAGCUGAUCUGGACUCUCUUGAACCAUUCUAAAUGGACUCCCAGGUAUCCAGUGAUCAGUUC